rnacentral:rRNA from 1 species
GGACUACAAGGGUAUCUAAUCCUGUUUGAUCCCCACGCUUUCGUGCCUCAGUGUCAAUAUAUGUGUAGCCAGCUGCCUUCGCAAUUGGUGUUCUAUGUCAUAUCUAAGCAUUUCACCGCUACAUGACAUAUUCCGCUGACCUCCACAAUAUUCAAGAUCUAUAGUAUCAAUGGCAGUUUCCAAGUUAAGCUCGGAGAUUUCACCACUGACUUACAGACCCACCUACGCACCCUUUAAACCCAGUGAAUCCGGAUAACGCUUGCACCCUCCGUAUUACCGCGGCUGCUGGCAC